rnacentral:rRNA from 1 species
CGGACGGGUGAGUAACGCGUGGGGAACCUGCCCUGUACCGGGGGAUAGCAGCCGGAAACGGCUGAUAAUACCGCAUAAGCGCACGAAUGUAGCAUGACAUGAUGUGAAAAACUCCGGUGGUAUAGGAUGGACCCGCGUCUGAUUAGCCUGUUGGUGGGGUAAAAGCCUACCGAAGCGAAGAUCAGUAGCCGAGUUGAGAGACUGACCGGCCACAUUGGGACUGAGACACGGCCCAGACUCCUACGGGAGGCAGCAGUU